rnacentral:rRNA from 1 species
AUAUUGGACAAUGGGCGCAAGCCUGAUCCAGCCAUGCCGCGUGUGUGAAGAAGGCCUUUUGGGUGUAAAGCACUUUAAGCGAGGAGGAGGCUACCGAGAUUAAUACUUUUGGAUAGUGGACGUUACUCGCAGAAUCAGCACCGGCUAACUCUGUGCCAGCAGCCGCGGUAAUACAGAGGGUGCGAGCGUUAAUCGGAUUUACUGGGCGUAAAGCGUGCGUAGGCGGCUUCUUAAGUCGAAUGUGAAAUCCCUGAGCUUAACUUAGGAAUUGCAUACGAUACUGGGAAGCUAGAGGAUGGGAGAGGAUGGUAGAAUUCCAGGUGUAGCGGUAAAAUGCGUAGAGAUCUGGAGGAAUACCGAUGGCGAAGGCAGCCAUCUGGCCUAAUACUGACGCUGAGGUACGAAAGCAUGGGGAGCAAAC